ensembl:lncRNA
CUGAGUUGGCUCGGUGAAAGUGCUGUUGUGCAAGCCUGACACCUGAACGUGAUCCCUGGAACCCAUGGAAAGGCUGCCUGGCUGACUUAGCCUUGUCAUUGUGCCUUCCCACCAUGAUGGAUUGUGUCUUUUCUGGAACUCUGAGCCAAGAUGCUCAAGCCACGCCCAGUGUCACUCUCUCUUCCUGCUGCCUGCCGAUUCGGAUGUAGAAAUCUCCAUCCUUCUCUAGCACCACGUCUGCCUGCAAGCACCAUACUUCCUGCCAUGGUGAUGAUGAUGGACUAAACCUCUGAACAUGUAAUCACAAAAGACUGAGAUUGGAGCCCAGCUACAUGGAAAAGACACGGUUACUGUAGGAGAAACUGCGGCCAGCCUACCCGCGCUUCAGGUGCCCAGGCCAGGUGCCCAGGCCAGCUCUCAUGAACAUUUGAGGCAGGCACUUCCUCCCUGAGACAAGCCUGCCUCUUAAGCCCAGAGACUGCUGACGAAGAGACCCCUGACCAGAGACACCAAUGAGGAAUGGACAACACAGCGGAGUCAGCCGCCUGAGCCAAUAGGAUCUUGGGAAGGGGUAAAAGGCAGGACUAACUUCCUUGAUAAAUGAGUCUGCAGCACUCUCUGCUACUCACUGACUCCCAGUGCCUGAGUCUUUGGUGCUGCAUCUUCUCACCCCGCCUCCCGAAACAAGUUACCACCUGCAUUAGGAUAAAAAUCAAGAAAACUUCCUGUCCUGGUGUGCUUGCUCUCCUGCUUCCUGGAGGAGUUCACCCUCUUGACCGAGAAUAAAGUUUGCUUUGUUGAGAUGUUUCAA